rnacentral:rRNA from 1 species
CAGCAGCCACGGUAAUACGAAGGGUGCAAGCGUUAAUCGGAAUUACUGGGCGUAAAGCGUGCGUAGGCGGUUUGUUAAGUCUGCUGUGAAAUCCCCGGGCUCAACCUGGGAAUGGCAGUGGAUACUGGCUCGCUAGAGUGUGUCAGAGGAUGGUGGAAUUCCCGGUGUAGCGGUGAAAUGCGUAGAGAUCGGGAGGAACAUCAGUGGCGAAGGCGGCCAUCUGGGACAACACUGACGCUGAGGCACGAAAGCGUGGGGAGCAAACAGGAUUAGAUACCCCCGUAGUCCCUGUCUCUUAUAC